rnacentral:rRNA from 1 species
AGUGAACGCUGGCGGUAGGCCUAACACAUGCAAGUCGAACGGCAGCACAGUAAGAGCUUGCUCUUACGGGUGGCGAGUGGCGGACGGGUGAGUAAUACAUCGGAAUCUACUUUUUCGUGGGGGAUAACGUAGGGAAACUUACGCUAAUACCGCAUACGACCUACGGGUGAAAGCAGGGGAUCUUCGGACCUUGCGCGAUUGAAUGAGCCGAUGUCGGAUUAGCUAGUUGGCGGGGUAAAGGCCCACCAAGGCGACGAUCCGUAGCUGGUCUGAGAGGAUGAACAGCCACACUGGAACUGAGACACGGUCCAGACUCCUACGGGAGGCAGCAGUGGGGAAUAUUGGACAAAGGGCGCAAGCCUGAUCCAGCAAUACCGCGUGGGUGAAGAAGGCCUUCGGGUUGUAAAGCCCUUUUGUUGGGAAAGAAAAGCAGCAGGUUAAUACGCCGCUGUUCUGACGGUACCCAAAGAAUAAGCACCGGCUAACUUCGUG